rnacentral:rRNA from 1 species
UACGUAGGGGGCAAGCGUUGUCCGGAAUCACUGGGCGUAAAGCGUGCGUAGGCGGUUGUGUAAGUCUGGAGUGAAAGUCCAAGGCUCAACCUUGGGAUGGCUUUGGAAACUACACAACUUGAGUACUGGAGAGGCAAGGGGAAUUCCACGUGUAGCGGUGAAAUGCGUAGAUAUGUGGAGGAAUACCAGUGGCGAAGGCGCCUUGCUGGACAGAAACUGACGCUGAGGCACGAAAGCGUGGGGAGCAAACAGG